GAUUUCUGGCUUGAAGCAUUUGGCCGGCCACGGUUUCGUGUGUUAGUGCUUUGUGCUCUGGCCAUCCUUCCAAUCGCUAUUGGCUUAUCUUCAUUGAUUGGUCAGUGGUAUUGGAUCUUUUACUUUGAAAAAAUUAGAGUGUUUAAAGCAGGCUUGCGCUGUGAAUACAUUAGCAUGGAAUAAUAAUUUAGGACUUUGGUCUUAUUUUGUUGGUUUCUAGGACUAAAGUAAUGAUUGAUAGGGACAGUUGGGGGUGCUAGUAUUCCGCGGCCAGAGGUGAAAUUCUUGGAUUCGCGGAAGACUAACUUAUGCGAAAGCAUU
rnacentral:rRNA from 1 species